rnacentral:rRNA from 1 species
UGACGGUAUCAUAUGAAUAAGCACCGGCUAACUCCGUGCCAGCAGCCGCGGUAAUACGGGGGGUGCAAGCGUUACUCGGAAUCACUGGGCGUAAAGAGCAUGUAGGCGGGUGAAUAAGUUGGAAGUGAAAUCCUAUAGCUUAACUAUAGAACUGCUUCCAAAACUGUUCACCUAGAGUAUGGGAGAGGUGGAUGGAAUUUCUGGUGUAGGGGUAAAAUCCGUAGAGAUCAGAAGGAAUACCGAUUGCGAAGGCGAUCUACUGGAACAUUACUGACGCUCAGAUGCGAAAGCGUGGGGGAGCAAACAGGAUUAGAUACCCUGGUAGUCCACGCCCUAAACGAUGUACACUAGUUGUUGCUAUACUAGAUAUGGCAGUAAUGCAGUUAACACUUUAAGUGUACCGCCUGGGGAGUACGGUCGCAAGAUUAAAACUCAAAGGAAUAGACGGGGACCCGCACAAGCGGUGGAGCAUGUGGUUUAAUUCGACGAUACGCGAAAAACCUUACCUGGCCUUGACAUAGUAGGAAUCUUUAAGAGAUUAGAGAGUGCUAGCUUGCUAGAACCUACAUACAGGUGCUGCACGGCUGUCGUCAGC